AGUAAGACGUAUGCCUGAAACGCAGAGUUUUUAAUUCUAUGGUUUCAUCCCAUUCUCUUCUCCGCCGUUGCAAUAUCGUACCCUAGGGGUUUUGAUCGAGAUGCUUCAUCUUCUUCCUAUGGAUCCAGCGAUCUACCUGUUACAGAUUCUUACUCUUAAAGCCCUUUUUAAAUCCAUCCUCCACGAUGAAGCUCAACGAUUUCUCACUCAAUACUCUCAUCUCUCUUACAAGCGGUGAAGCUCCUCCUACAAAAAGCUAGACGCUGCACCUCCACCGCCCAAGUCAGUUUGCUUAGGUUCUGGGAAGAUAGGAAUGUUAAGCGCGACGGAGAGGGUCCACAUUCUCCUCAUGGACGCCAAGGCCACUCUCACCUAAGCCACCGUGAACGUCUACCGCUUAAACACAUUCAGGCAUCUUUUCACUGUUGGUUAAGUGUACUCUGUUAGCGGCUUUGAGCUGUCCGGACUUCAAGCUGUCCGACUCUCCUGUGUCGAUCCGGCUCAAUAUUGAGACGGGUUUGAAAGACUUAACCGAUCCAGGUUCAAAUUCCUCAAGAACGUUUCAGGUUCUGCAAAGAUGAGUUGCUUGGUCUAGCAAACACCAACACCCAUCUUCCAGGAGCAUGGGCUAACUGAAUCGUUCCUCCGUGCCUGUCCUAUUGGUAUAAUGCCUGAUGGAUCAGGCACCAAAUUUUUUAGGUGAAUCCUUAGGCGUUAACGACAAUAACAAGUCGGUUUACUGGAGGAGAAGAAGGAGAUAGUGAGAACAAUAAUGAUAUGACAAAGGAGGUGAAGAGCAAGUACAAGCAAGACAAGCGAAGAAGUAGAAAACUAACGAAUGAGACAUAUUGCGGUCGCUAGGAAUAGGAAGCAAAUGAACGAGCAUCUUCGUAACCUCCAGUCUCUUUUGUCUGGAUCCUACGUUCAAUGGAGAGAUCAAGCGUCGAUCAUAGGUGGAAUAGAGUUUGUGAGAGAGCUUGAGCAACUUCUACAAUGCCUACAGUCACAUGAGUCGUAUAGGAGGAGGAGGAGGGCUCCGGGAAGAAACAGCUGAGAAUGAGUCGUGCUUGGCUGAUGUGGAGGUGAAGCUGCUAGAGUUUGAUGCCAUGAUCAAGAAACUUUCAAGAAGAAGACCAGGACAACUGAUUAAGACUAUUGCUUUUUUGGAGGAUCUUCAUCUCUAUAUUCUUCACACUUACAUGACUACCAUGGAACAAACAGUCCUCUACUCCUUCAAUGUCAAGGCAAGUUUCACCUUCGUACAUUAUACUCUUAGGCGUUCAUAUAUAUAGUACAUCCUCAUAUAAAGUUUUUUACCCAUAUACUUGGAUUUAUUUAAAUAAAAUAUGCAUAUAUUAGUAACCUUCAAGGAAAAGUGGACGUUGAAGGUUUCCUCUCAGCACAAGCUGCCAUAGAUGCAAUUAAGGGCUCCAUGGAUCUUUACGCAGCUAACAUCAAAGCUGGCUUGCAGCGUUAGUAAACAUACCGGUCGAUCUGUUCCUCCAGGUUUGCGUUGAUGCCUUCUCCGGCUCGCUGGAGAACAAACUCACAUGUCUUUUUUCUGCAGAGCUAAUGUGUCUGAAAAUGAGAGGCGAACAGGUCUUUAUGAUUAUCAGGUAUGCUCUCUUUUGUACUUGAAACAACACCUCUAACAAACGACUGGUGAGUGUAUAUGGGAGUAUUUUGGAUGGGUUUUGUUAGAUAGACUGAAAGAUGUCAAGAAACAUGGAAGGAUAAUAUAGAAGUGGGAGUAUCCGAAGGAUUCUUUUACAUGCGUUUGGAUAAAAUCUUUAGCUUAGUGGAUGUCUGACUGAUCAAACUUCAGAGUACGCACCAAGGGGCAAGCCUAUGGAACAUCCCAGAUUCAAUACAUAUCAUACUUGGUGAGACAAUAAUUGAUAUGUUUGUUUUU